UACGUAGGCAGCAAGCGUUGUUCGGAGUUACUGGGCGUAAAGGGUGCGUAGGCGGCUUUUUAAGUUUGGUGUGAAAUCUCCCGGCUCAACUGGGAGGGUGCGCCGAAUACUGAGAGGCUAGAGUGCGGGAGAGGAAAGUGGAAUUCCUGGUGUAGCGGUGAAAUGCGUAGAUAUCAGGAGGAACACCGGUGGUGUAAACGACUUUCUGGACCGUAACUGACGCUGAUGCACGAAAGCGUGGGUAGCAAACAGG
rnacentral:rRNA from 1 species